AUUGAACGCUGGCGGCAGGCUUAACACAUGCAAGUCGAGCGGUAACAGAGAGAAGCUUGCUUCUCUGCUGACGAGCGGCGGACGGGUGAGUAAUGCCUAGGAAUCUGCCUAGUAGUGGGGGAUAACUUGCCGAAAGGUAAGCUAAUACCGCAUACGUCCUACGGGAGAAAGGAGGGGACCUUCGGGCCUUUCGCUAUUAGAUGAGCCUAGGUCGGAUUAGUUAGUUGGUGAGGUGAUGGCUCACCAAGACCGCGAUCCGUAACUGGUCUGAGAGGAUGAUCAGUCACACUGGAACUGAGACACGGUCCAGAGUCCUACGGGAGGCAGCAGUGGGGAAUAUUGGACAAUGGGGGGAACACUGAUCCAGCCAUGCCGCGUGUGUGAAGAAGGUCUUAGGAUUGUAAAGCACUUUAAGUUGGGAGGAAGAGCAGUUAACUAAUAUUUGACUGUUUUGACGUUACCGACAGAAUAAGCACCGGCUAACUUCGUGCCAGCCGCCGCCGUAA
rnacentral:rRNA from 1 species